GGUAGAGUGGCAGAGUCUGGCUUAUUGCUCCGGUCUUGAAAACCGGCGAUCCAUUGCAAAAUGGGUCCGUGGGUUCAAAUCCCACCUCUAUCU
rnacentral:tRNA from 1 species